rnacentral:rRNA from 1 species
GACUGAGUGGCGGACGGGUGAGUAACGCGUGGAUAACCUGCCUCAUACAGGGGGAUAACAGUUAGAAAUGACUGCUAAUACCGCAUAAGCGCACGGGAACGCAUGUUCCUGUGUGAAAAGCCGAGACGGUAUGAGAUGGAUCCGCGUCUGAUUAGCUAGUUGGUGAGGUAACGGCCCACCAAGGCGACGAUCAGUAGCCGACCUGAGAGGGUGACCGGCCACAUUGGGACUGAGACACGGCCCAAACUCC